rnacentral:rRNA from 1 species
CCUACGGGAGGCAGCAGUAGGGAAUCUUCCACAAUGGACGAAAGUCUGAUGGAGCAACGCCGCGUGAACGAUGAAGGCUUUCGGGUCGUAAAGUUCUGUUGUAAGGGAAGAACAAGUGCCGCAGGCAAUGGCGGCACCUUGACGGUACCUUGCGAGAGAGCCACGGCUAACUACGUGCCAGCAGCCGCGGUAAUACGUAGGUGGCAAGCGUUGUCCGGAAUUAUUGGGCGUAAAGCGCGCGCAGGCGGCCUCUUAAGUCUGAUGUGAAAGCCCCCGGCUCAACCGGGGAGGGCCAUUGGA